UACGUAGGUUGCAAGCGUUAUCCGGAUUUACUGGGCGUAAAGGGAGCGCAGGCGGCGCGCCAAGUCUGAUGUGAAACCCCGGGGCUCAACCGCGGGCAUGCAUUGGAAACUGGCGGGCUGGAGUGCCGGAGAGGUAAGCGGAAUUCCUAGUGUAGCGGUGAAAUGCGUAGAUAUUAGGAGGAACACCAGUGGCGAAGGCGGCUUACUGGACGGCAACUGACGCUGAGGCUCGAAAGCGUGGGGAGCAAACAGG
rnacentral:rRNA from 1 species